rnacentral:lncRNA from 10 species
CAUUAGGCACUGCCAGCAGCAAGCACUGCCAGCUAAUCACAGCACUGAUUUUGAGCAGGAGUGGGACAGCUUAGAUUUCUCUAGUUCCAAUUUAGAAGUGUUCACCAUUCAUGAUGCUUUCUUGGACCUAUUUAAUUGUUUUUCAGACUGACCGUCUUCUCUCCCUAGGAGGCAUAGGCAGAGGGAUCAGGGCUGGGAAAGGGAGGCCCAGGGGACUGUGUGAGCCCAGAGGGCUUCAUGGAGGAGGUGGUAUGUGAGCGGACAGAAAUGAGCAAGGUGUGCUCGGCAGGGAAAGCAGCUGUGGGAGGGUCUGGUGAUGAAAGUGUGGUUUUGGUUCAAGGAACUGAAAGAUCAUAAAUAUGGCUGGGGUGGGAAGAACGGUGAGAGAGUAGGCCAAAGAGGUCAUUCAGGGAAGAUCAUUCAAGGCCCUGUCAGCCACAGUGAGGAGCUGAGACUGUGUACUGAGGACACCGGGGAGCCACAGAGUUUUUGAGCAGGAGAGGGAUGUGUCAAAUUCACGUGGAGGUCGGAUUGCAAGGAUUGAGUGGAGUCUGGAAGCCAAGGGAGGUGGCUGGAGUGGGGACCCAGGUGGGAGAGACUAAGUCAGAGCUUGUGGGGGAGGGCGAAUUGGAGAGACCCUCACAGGACCAAGUCGACAAAUGGUUGGGGUCCAGGACAAGGCCCAGGGCUGGGGGUAGUCAAGGAGAGCUUUCUGGAGGAGGAGGCACCAAGGCUGAGACCUGAAGGAUGGGUUCAACAGCUCUUCUUGAAAUGGGGACCUGGGGCAGGAAGAUGGUAAGGACAGUUGGGGACAUAGUAGGUGUGGGAGUCUGGGGACACCUUGAAGGAGGUAUCUGGGGGGCCCUGGAACCUCUAGAGCUGGAGUCAGGGGAAAGGAGGAAACAAGACAGAGCUUUGGGUUGAGAAAGAGGGAAUUGAAGCUGUAAUGAUGGGGGAAGGUCCACAGGGGCCUGUCCAUGUAGGGCUCUGUAGGACAUGGUAAGAAGUUUGUCCUUUGUCCUGGGGGCAAUGGGGAGCCACAGAAGGAUUUUGAGCAGGAGUGAGACAGCUUAGGGUUUUUAAGUUCCAGUUCAGAAGUGUUUAUCAUUCAUGAUGCUUUUUGGACCUAUUUAAUUGUUUUUCAGACUGACUGACUUCUCUCCCUAGGAGGGGCACUUAUUUUAAAGGGUCCGUUGAAAUAAAAGAUCUAACUGCUGAAAAUGAAAAAUCAGUUUGCAAAACCAGUGUUCUGUUCCGUUUUCUGUAGACAAUUGAUGGUUCAGUCCAAAGAGGUCAGAAACAAUUGAUGGUUUAGUCCAAAGAGGUCUGUACCAUCUAGUGAAAAUCAGCACCAUUAAACAUGAGAACAUUUCUGUUUUAAACCAUUUGGAAGCCCCGUGAAUUUUAUUUUAUUUUGUUAUUUUUAAAAUUAGAGACAGGGGUCUCGCUCUGUUGCCCAGGCUAGUCUCGAACUGCUGGGCUCAAGCGAUCCUCCCACUUCAGCCUACCAAAGUGCUGGAAUUACAGAUGUGAGCUACUGCUCCUGGCCAGCCUGUGGAUUUGUAAAUGUCUCCUGUGGUGUGAUCUGCCUCAUGUUUCCUGUAUGUAGGCUUCAGAAGCACACUCUGCAUUCUCAGAUGGCUUGAAUCAGCCUUGACUUUUUCCCCACCCUCUCAGCCUGAAUCUCAGGUUGAGAUGCCAUUAUCUGCACCCACCCUAUAUGCUCUGGGCUUAGAACUGAUACCAGCUGGUUAUCAUUGUGUAUAAAAGUGUCACUAGGUAUAGAGAGACAUCUAAAAUAAUCUCCUCUCAAAAUUUUCUAUUCUGCUGCUCCAUUUCUUCUGCUUUCAGUAUUUUUUGAGCAAUUACAAUGGUCUGGGCCCUAGAGCUAGAGGAAUAAAUCAGACACGGACAUAGCAAGGGACACAUAUGUUGAUUAUGUGUGAUUAAAAUGUAUACAAGAUACGAGGGCGUACACAGAUCUCACCAACUAGCAUGUUUCAAGGGCUUACUGUGCUUCCUGCCUUCCAUGGAUGAUCUCAUUGACUUCCCAACAAAUGUGAGGUUGGUAUUAUUAAUCUCCACAUUGUUCAAAGAAUGAAAGUGUGGCUUAGAGAAGGGAACCUCUUUUCCCAGUUCCACAGAGCUGAGAUCUGAAGUCUGAGCUGUGGGACUCUGAGACCCACCCCCUUAACCAUUCAGAGAUCCCCCAGCCACCACCCUCCAGUGCAUAUAAGAUGAUACCCAUUUCAUUUGUUGUUUUGAGACCGUGUCUUGCUCUGUCGCCCAGGCUGGAGUGCAGUGGCACAAUCACGGCUCACUGCAGCCUUGACCUCCUGGACUCAAGCAGUGGUCCCACCUCAGCCUCCCAAGUGGCUGGGACCACAGGCGUAGGCAUGGGCUACCACACCUAGCCAAUUAUCUUUUUGUUUGUUUGUUUUUGAGAUGGAGUUUCGCUCUUGUUGCCCAGACUGGCAUGCAAUGAUGCAAUCUCGGCUCACUGCAACCUCUGCCUCCCAGGUUCAAGCGAUUCUUGGACCUCAGCCUCCCGAGUAGCCUGCCACCAUGCCAGGCUAAUUUUUGUAUUUUUGGUAGAGACGAGGUUUCACCAUGUUGGCCAGGCUGGUCUCGAACUCCUGACCUCAGGUGAUCCACCCAUCUUGGCCUCCCAAAGUGCUGGGAUUACAGGCAUGAGCCACCGUGCCCAGCCGCCUAGCCAAUUUUUUAAGUUUUUGUAGAGAUGGGGUCACACCUUGUUGCCCCAACUGGUCUCAAACUCCUGAGCUCAAGCCAUCCUCCCGCCUUGGCCUCCCAAAGUGCUGGGAUUAUAGGCAUAAGCCACUGCGCCCUGCCAAUAUGGCUAAUACUGGUUUAUAGAUGAGGCCAGCAGGGCUCAGAAGUAAAGCCCCAUGCUCAGCAUCACUCAGCAAGAAAGUGGCAGAGGUGUGAUCUGAACCAUGAGCUCUCCAAUUUAAAGGGCUGCUGUAGAGGAGGAAUCAAAUCUCCCACUGCCACCCUCCCCUGGGGGUGGGGUGUUCAGGGAUCUGUGACCCAGUGGGUUUUACUUCCUCCUUUUUGCGGGCUAUGGUGUCAUACUCCAAGGGGGGCAGGACCACAAGGCAAGGGGACUAGGGGGUAUUCUGUGGGCUGGGAGAGAGCACGCUUCCUGGCAGUGCCCUCUCCCAGAUGAGACCUGAUCUCUUUUUUGUUUUUUGUUUUUUGUUUUGAGACAGAGUUUUGCUCUUCUUGCCCAGGCUGGAGUACAAUGGCGCAAUCUUGGCUCACUGCAACCUCCGCCUCCCAGGUUCAAGCGAUUCUCCUGCCUCAGCCUCCUGAGUAGCUGGGAUUACAGGCAUGCGCCACCACGCCCGGCUAAUUUUGUAUUUUUAGUAGAGACGGGGUUUCACCAUGUUGGUCAGGCUGGUCUUGAACUCCCGACCUCAGGUGAUUUGCCCACCUCAGCCUCCCAAAGUGCUGGAUUACAGGUGUGAGCCACUGCGCCCGACCGAGACCUGAUUUCAUCUCAUGUCAUACCAGCAAGGAGGCAGAGCAUAAGUACCAACCUGGAUGGGGCGCGCUGGGAGCCCCAUGGAGGUUCUAGGGUCCUGAGAAUACAGGCAUUGAGACGGGCUGAGGAGGAACUCCAGCAUCCGGCUGCCCGUGCCCACCUUCAGUUUCACCCUACCCUGCUCCCACAAGGAUCUGAGCAGGGAGGGGGCCUGAUUUCCUUCUCCCGCUGAGACCACAGUCCUCUGGAGGCUAGGAUCUGGUGAUGGGGCACCCUAGCUAGGAGCCUGAGCCUCUUUAUAAUUUAGUUUCCAUAGAAGUUAUAUGUGCAUUUAAAAAAAUUCAAUGUAAGUAAAGACCUACAAUGAAAAGCAACCGUCUUGUCUCUGGGGGUGGGAUGGGGGAUGCCUUUGCGUGGGGAGCUGUUAGGAGACUUGACAGUCACCUUUGCUGAGAGCCUCCUGCAUGUCAGGGGCUCUUCUAUGCACAUUAUAUGUGUGCUAAUUCCUUUUUUAAAACUUUACUUUUUGUGGAGAUGAGUCCUGCUGUGUUGUGUAGGCUGGUCUUGAACUCCUGGCCUCACGCAAUCCACCCCCAACCUUAGCCUCCCGGAGUGCAGGGAUUACAGGUGUGAGCCACCUUUCCCAGCCUGUUGACUCCUUUAAUUCAGAGGAGUCAGUCAGAUUUUAGACAUCUCAAAUGUUGUAUGUUCAAAACCAAACUCCUGGUCUUUUCCCCAAACUUGUGUCUCCCUGUCUUGCCCAAUCAGCUGUUGACACCUCCAAUCCUUGCAGUUGCUGCGGCCAAAACUCAGUCAUCCCUCACUCCUUUACUGCUCUCAAACCCACAUCCAGCCUAGAAAUGCCAUCCCCUCCACCUUCAAAAUGCAUCCAGACCCCGCCCUUUCUUCGACACUUGGCUGACCACACCCUGGUCCUGUCCACCCUUGGCUCCUGUCUGGAUGCUCCCAGCAGCCUCCUCCCUGGGCUCCCUUGCCCUGCCCCAGUCUGUUCCCCACGCACAGCCGCCAGGGGAUCCUGUAACACCUGUGUUUGUUUCUUCGGGCUGCUGUAACAAAUUGCCACCAAGUUGGUGGCUUAACACAACAGAAUGUAUGGCCAGGCGCAGUGGCUCCUGCCUGUAAUCCCAGCACUUUGGGAGGCCGAGACAGUCGAUCAUUUGAAGUUGCACCACUGCACUCCAGCCUGGAUAACAGAGCGAGACUCCGUCUUAAAAAAAAAAAAAAAAAAAAAAGACA